rnacentral:rRNA from 1 species
GACGAACGCUUGCGGCGUGCUUAACACAUGCAAGUCGAACGGAAAGGCCCUGCUUUUGUGGGGUGCUCGAGUGGCGAACGGGUGAGUAACACGUGAGUAACCUGCCCUUGACUUUGGGAUAACUUCAGGAAACUGGGGCUAAUACCGGAUAGGAGCUCCUGCUGCAUGGUGGGGGUUGGAAAGUUUCGGCGGUUGGGGAUGGACUCGCGGCUUAUCAGCUUGUUGGUGGGGUAGUGGCUUACCAAGGCUUUGACGGGUAGCCGGCCUGAGAGGGUGACCGGCCACAUUGGGACUGAGAUACGGCCCAGACUCCUACGGGAGGCAGCAGUGGGGAAUAUUGCACAAUGGGCGGAAGCCUGAUGCAGCAACGCCGCGUGCGGGAUGACGGCCUUCGGGUUGUAAACCGCUUUCGCCUGUGACGAAGCGUGAGUGACGGUAAUGGGUAAAGAAGCACCGGCUAACUACGUGCCAGCAGCCGCGGUGAUACGUAGGGUGCGAGCGUUGUCCGGAUUUAUUGGGCGUAAAGGGCUCGUAGGUGGUUGAUCGCGUCGGAAGUGUAAUCUUGGGGCUUAACCCUGAGCGUGCUUUCGAUACGGGUUGACUUGAGGAAGGUAGGGGAGAAUGGAAUUCCUGGUGGAGCGGUGGAAUGCGCAGAUAUCAGGAGGAACACCAGUGGCGAAGGCGGUUCUCUGGGCCUUUCCUGACGCUGAGGAGCGAAAGCGUGGGGAGCGAACAGGCUUAGAUACCCUGGUAGUCCACGCUGUAAACGGUGGGUACUAGGUGUGGGGUCCAUUCCACGGGUUCCGUGCCGUAGCUAACGCUUUAAGUACCCCGCCUGGGGAGUACGGCCGCAAGGCUAAAACUCAAAGGAAUUGACGGGGCCCCGCACAAGCGGCGGAGCAUGCGGAUUAAUUCGAUGCAACGCGUAGAACCUUACCUGGGUUUGACAUGGAUCGGGAGUGCUCAGAGAUGGGUGUGCCUCUUUUGGGGUCGGUUCACAGGUGGUGCAUGGCUGUCGUCAGCUCGUGUCGUGAGAUGUUGGGUUAAGUCCCGCAACGAGCGCAACCCUUGUCCACUGUUGCCAGCACGUUAUGGUGGGGACUCAGUGGAGACCGCCGGGGUCAACUCGGAGGAAGGUGGGGAUGACGUCAAGUCAUCAUGCCCCUUAUGUCCAGGGCUUCACGCAUGCUACAAUGGCUGGUACAGAGAGUGGCGAGCCUGUGAGGGUGAGCGAAUCUCGGAAAGUCGGUCUCAGUUCGGAUUGGGGUCUGCAACUCGACCUCAUGAAGUCGGAGUCGCUAGUAAUCGCAGAUCAGCAACGCUGCGGUGAAUACGUUCCCGGGGCU